UUUCCCAGUACAGAGGUGAGACUGACAUGUUGGCAGUUCCCAGGGUCAUCCUUUCUAUCUGUAAUAACAGCUGUGCUGUCGCCUUUUUUCUGCUCACCAGGGACUUCACCUGACUGCCUCGACUUCUCAAAUACCAUUGAGAGUGGCUCUGUAACUGCAGCACUGAAUUCCCUCGGAACUCUGGGACUCGUCUCGUCAGGACCCAAAGACUCCUGGAUGUUCAGGUCCUCAGGUGGCAGCGGAGCUGCGGUGCUCCCGAGUGCUGUAACAACUGCAUGGAGAGGUGUGGGCCUUCAUGGGAACAGCCAGGAACCGGAAUCUGCAUUUCCUGGAAUGCCCCGGAACCUCGCUUUGCUGGCUGGUAAUUGUCUGCCCAGCAGGUGGCUGCAGAGCUGCAGCGCUCCUGAGAGCUUUAAGGACAGCAUGGAGAUGCGUGGCUAUUCACGGCAGCAGCAAGGAACCGGAAUCUGCAUUUCCUGGAAUGCCACGGAACCCCACUUUGCUGGCUGGUAAUUGUCUGCCCAGCAGGUGAAGAUGCCUUUGACGCUUCCAGUUGGUGACUUCCCCCCUGCAAUGCCAUCGGCUUUCCAGGCCUCCCACACUCACCGCCAGCUCGGUUCGGUCGAGCCGCUACCUGAAUCCCCGCUCCGUUCCCUUUCCAUCAUCUUCCUUUCACUCUGCCACAAGCUCCUACCACCGCCCAAGGUCAUCGCAGGCAACGUGUGGGAUGCGGUACUCGGUCUCAUUACAGUUCAUCCCAUCAGCCUCAGCCCAGCGAUCCAACCCACCCGCACCCUUCCUGAGGGCCCUUCUACUUCCAGGCCAAUCAACGCUUCCUUCUGAUGCCAUCUGUGCUCCUUCCUGCCCGCUUUAAGACUCGUGCCCCUUUGUGGCCAUUUUGAGAAUUGCACUAAUUUCAGCGUGUGCAUUCAAUUGACUUCAACCAAAUUGGCUUUAGCUUUACAUUCAAUUAGUGUAAACCAAAUUGGCUUUAGCUUUGCCUUGCUUACGGGGUUGGGUUAGCUUUGCUUUGUUUGUUCUAGCGCAGGGCUAACCCAACCCCGUAACCAAGGGCCGUUGGA